rnacentral:misc_RNA from 1 species
GGCCUACACAAGAUCAGAAGUCGGGAAAAAAAUUAUAAAAAAAAAGGCCACCAGUAGAACAUCAACUUCGCAAUCUCAAAAACUGAAAAGAAUAUACGCAUGGAACAAAGGCACCAAUUGAACUAAAAACUCGAAAAAUCUACAAUAAAAGAAGAGGGAACAACCGAAUUUACAAACGGGUAGGGUGAAUUAUUCGGUUUCCCACAAUCCUUUUUUCGCUUCAAAAGGCCAAAAAAAAAAUAGGCCCACAUUUAAAAUGGAAUUCAACA